UACGUAGGGGGCAAGCGUUGUCCGGAAUCAUUGGGCGUAAAGAGCGUGUAGGCGGUCCGGUAAGUCGGCUGUGAAAGUCCAGGGCUCAACCCUGGGAUGCCGGUCGAUACUGCCGGACUAGAGUUCGGAAGAGGCGAGUGGAAUUCCCGGUGUAGCGGUGAAAUGCGCAGAUAUCGGGAGGAACACCUAUGGCGAAGGCAGCUCGCUGGGACGUUACUGACGCUGAGGCACGAAAGCGUGGGGAGCAAACAGG
rnacentral:rRNA from 1 species